UCCAGGCACGGUCAUAGGGAACAAGGGUCUGGAGUUUAGCUGGGGUUGAGCAAAGCAGCCAGCCAGCUGUGUUUCCUGGUAGGUUCUUGUCUUACAAGGACAUUUUUUUUGUGUGUGUGUCCUUGUUUGCAUGAUCUGAUUAGAAAAGUCUGAAUUUCAUUCAGGUUGACCUUGGGCAGAACAGGCCCGUAGAGGCCACUCUGGGUAAAAAGCAGAAGUGCCCGCAACCUGGGCCCUGCUCUCCUUUGCUCUCUGUUGCUGUGCUGAGACACUCUGAGCCCUUGGGGAAGAAAGGGUUUAUUUGGCUUGAACUUCCAGUUCACAAUCCAUCCUUGAGGGACCCUGAAGUAGAAGUCUUGGAGGAACACUCCUUAUUGGCUCACCCUUUGGCUUACUCUAUACUUCUUUUAUUACGGAGCCCGGCACCGCCUGCUCGGGCUGGUGCUGCCCACGGUGGGCGGGGUCCUCCUGCACCAUCCUCCAUCAAGACAGUCCCUCCCAGACAUGGACGCAAUCUGGUCAAGGCGGUUCUUCCACGGGGCUUCCUUCUUCCUGGAUGGCUCCAGGUCCCGUCAAGCUGACAAUAAAAAUGAACAGCCCUACAAGUAUUACACUUGUUAAGGUAUUCAGACCCGUGGCUGCACCUGGCCUUCCAGGCCUGUGAGAACCGGGAUUUCCGUGCUGGGGCUUCAGUUACAUGCCGGUCACCUUCUUUCCAGUGUCUCUUCAGUAUUCUCUGGACCCUGAGAAAAGCUGACCUCAAGAAAAACUACAGCCUGAAAAAACCCCGUGGUUAAGGAAGAAAAGUGAAACAAGCAAAUGGAAAACGACAAAAUGGGAAUUCAUCGAUCGCUAAAAUUAAUACCAGUAAAUGAGAGAAAGGGAAAAAAAAUUAAGUAGACAAGUGAAGUCUUUGAAACCGGAAGUGGUCAGAGGCCCCGUGGUGGUGGGAGGGAGAAGGCCUUAGUUUCC